rnacentral:rRNA from 1 species
AGAACGAACGCUGGCGGCGUGCCUAACACAUGCAAGUCGAACGAGAAAGGGGCUUCGGCUCCGAGUAAAGUGGCGCACGGGUGAGUAACACGUAGGUAACCUGCCUCUAAGAUUGGGAUAACUUGUCGAAAGACGAGCUAAUACCAAAAUAAGACCACGGUCUCCUCGGGGACAGAGGUCAAAGGUAGCCUCUAUUUAAUAAGCUAUCGCUGAGAGAUGGGCCUGCGUACCAUUAGCUU